rnacentral:rRNA from 1 species
GAUGAACGCUAGCGGCAGGCUUAAUACAUGCAAGUCGUGGGGCAGCGCAGUGUAGCAAUACAUGGGCGGCGGCCGGCAAACGGGUGCGUAACACGUACGCAACCUUCCCGUUACCGGGGAAUAGCCCAGGGAAACUUGGAUUAAUACCCCAUAUUAUAUUGAUUGGGCAUCUAAUUAAUAUCAAAGCUUCGGCGGUAACGGAUGGGCGUUCGGUUGAUUAGGUAGUUGGCGGGGUAACGGCCCACCAAGCCUACGAUCAAUAGCUGAUGUGAUAGCAUGAUCAGCCACACGGGCACUGAGACACGGGCCCGACUCCUACGGGAGGCAGCAGUAAGGAAUAUUGGGCAAUGGACGAGAGUCUGACCCAGCCAUGCCGCGUGGAGGAUGAAGGUCCUCUGGAUUGUAAACUUCUUUUUUCUGGGGCGAAAACCGGUUUUUCUAAACCAUUUGACAGUACCAGAAGAAUAAGCACCGGCUAACUCCGUGCCAGCAGCCGCCGUAAGAC